ACGGCUCAGUAACACGUGGAUAACCUGCCCUAAGGUGGAGGAUAACCCCGGGAAACUGGGGAUAAUACUCCAUAGGUUAAAGAUACUGGAAUGUUCUUUAGCCGAAAGUUCCGGCGCCUUAGGAUGGAUCUGCGGCCGAUUAGGUUGUUGUUGGGGUAGUGGCCCAACAAGCCUGUAAUCGGUACGGGUUGUGGGGGCAAGAGCCCGGAGAUGGAAUCUGAGACACGAUUCCAGGCCCUACGGGGCGCAGCAGGCGCGAAAACUUUACAAUGCAGGAAACUGUGAUAAGGGAACCCCGAGUGCCCGUAUAUGCGGGCUGUCCGGAUGUUUAAAACGCAUCCGAAGAAAGGGCCGGGCAAGACCGGUGCCAGCCGCCGCGGUAAUACCGGCGGCUCGAGUGGUGGCCACUUUUAUUGGGCUUAAAGCGUUCGUAGCUUGAAUAAUAAGUCUCUUGGGAAAUCUGCAGGCUUAACCUGCAGGCGUUUAAGAGAAACUGUUGUUCUAGGAACCGGAAGAGGUGAGAGGUACUCCGGGGGUAGGAGUGAAAUCCUGUAAUCCCCGGGGGACCACCGAUGGCGAAGGCAUCUCACCAGGACGGCUUCGACAGUGAGGAACGAAAGCUGGGGGAGCGAACCGGAUUAGAUACCCGGGUAGUCCCAGCCGUAAACGAUGUGCGUUAGGUGUGCCGGUGACCACGAGUCACUGGGGUGCCGAAGGGAAACCGUGAAACGUACCGCCUGGGAAGUACGGUCGCAAGGCUGAAACUUAAAGGAAUUGGCGGGGAAACAC
rnacentral:rRNA from 1 species